AGCAUUUCAAAUCGUACACUCAAUAUGCUCGAUAUGUGCAAAUACAACAUGGCAUCACAACAAAACUCUACAACUCAAUGUAUUUAUUCGUUAGGCUGCGAGGAGCCAAGUAUUACAACAUGGGUCUCAUGACCCAACAUACAGAGCAUACAAGCAACAAGCGGAAGCAUAACAUGUCUGAGUACAGACAGCUACAAUUGAAAAAGACCGAGAAGCCUGACUAUCUACAAGACCCUGCCGAGGGCACAAGAUCGUAGCUGAGGUAACCAGCUAAACGUCGAAGUCCACGCGGAACUACUAGCAAGACUGGAGUCUCUCUGCAAAAACAUAAAUUAAGCAAACGUGAGUACAAAUGUACCCAGCAAGACUUACAUCAGAACUAACUACAUAUGCAUCGGUAUCAACAAAGGGGGUGGUGGAGUUUAACUGCAGCAAGCCAGCUUUGACUCGGUGGCUAUCCUAAACUACGACUGCAAGUAACUCUUUUGAGGUGGCGCACACGAGUCCACAUAUUCACCAUAUCAAUACACCACUAUGGAUCCACUCCCGUCUCCCUACGAGAACGCCAUCCAUAGCACUCACGCUUAUCUUGCGCAUUUUAGAGUAUCCACUUUCACUUGUCUAUGAACUCUAUAGGCAACCCAGAGGUCCUUUACCGCGGACGCGGCUAUUCAAAUAGAUGAUGUUAACCCUGCAGGGAUGUACUUCUUCACACACGCUCUCACCACUUAUCGCCGUUUACACGGCAUGUACUCGGCAACCUUCAAGCGGAAGCCCAGCGAGGGUGUCGGCCACGACCUGACUAACCACACAAGUCCCUAGUCCAGGUUUAUCGCCUAUUCAGGUCCCAUCCGCAGGGAGUCCGGCCGAGGUUUCCACAUACGGCCUCGAACGAUGUGUGCAGGGUUCCCGAGACACCAAAUGGGCGCCCGGAACACCGUGCCACGUGCCUACCGCAUCACAGCCCACCCCUCGGGUCAGCGCUGCGCACGACCUCCAGCAUACUACAAACACUAGAAUCUACUUGCAACUCCCGGACAGAGGACAGGGGCGGUUAAUAAGUUGAGAGGGUCCAUUGGUUUUGGGCCCAACGCGUGGUAGUAGAUUUUCAUGGAUCACAGACAUAGAACUCAUUUCCUGAGGACAGUUUCAAUGAGACAACCCACCAUGUACUCCUACAUGGCCUCUCACCGCUACCUUUACCAAAUCGUGUUCACACACUUAGCUCACACACAGUAGGACAUGUUCAUCACCAUUCCAAUUCAUCCCCGAUGAAUUAGACCUGACUCAACUCUAAGCAGUAGCAGGCAUGACAAACAAGCAUGAAUGAGUAGGCACAUCAGGUCUCAAACAACUCCUACUCAUGCUAGUGGGUUUCAUCUAUUUACUGUGGCAAUGACAGGUCAUGCAGAGGAAAGGGGUUCAACUACCGCAUCAUGUAACGGUUGCAUCGUUGUUGUCCUAAUGUAGUAAAAGAGAGCAGGAGCGAGAGAGUGGGAUUGUAUCGGAAUGAACAAGGGGGUUUUGCUUGCCUGGCACUUCUGAAGAUAGUAUAGCUCUUCAUCGAUGUCAUCGAACUCAUCGUCGGAACAGGUCUUAUCGAGAGGGAACAACCACCGGCAACAGAGAAGGAACACAAUCAAUGCAAUGACACAAUAUGAUGCAUGAAUGUGACAUGGCAAAAUGCUGUGAUUUGAGCUAAUGCAGUUAGCAACGAUUUAAAUGGAGGUGGUUUGAACACUAGAUACAAAUUAAAACUCCACAUAAGGCAUUUCAAAUGCCAUUAAUUCAAAUUGUCUUAUACAGCAACUUUAAGUUGUUCAAACAUGCAUGAAAAUGGUACAGAUGGAUAGAUGAAAUUUUUCAGCUCAUUUUUCAUAUAUGAUUUAUUUCAUUUGGAGUUACAGAUUAUUUGCUAUGAUUUUUAGAAGUUUUGGAUAUUUUCUGAAAUAAAUAAAUCAUUUCUGAAUUAUUAUAAAUCCCAGAGAAUAUUUAUUGCAUCAGCUUGACGUCACUGUGAUGUCAGCAGGUCAACGGGGCGGUCCAGGUCAAACUGACCAGUGGGUCCUGCGUGUCAGAUUCUAACUAAACUAACAUAAUUUAGUUACCACUAACCUAACUUAAUUAGCAGGGCGGCCCCACCUGUCACUGACCCAGUGGAGGUCAAACCCCUGGUCAACCGAGGUAAAUGGUCGGCGGCUCGACGCCGGCGAAGUCAGACGUGG
rnacentral:lncRNA from 1 species